rnacentral:rRNA from 1 species
AACGAACGCUGGCGGCGUGGAUAAGACAUGCAAGUCGAACGGGAGUUUGUUUAUAGCAAUAUGAGUGAACUCUAGUGGCGAAAGGGUGCGUAACACGUGGCUACCUACCUCGAAGUUGGGGAUAGCUCGGCGAAAGCCGGAUUAAUACCGAAUGUGAUCGUGAGAUCAAAGCUGGGGAUCGUAAGACCUGGCGCUUUGAGAUGGGGCUGCGGCCUAUCAGGUAGUUGGCGGGGUAAGUAGGCCCACCAAGCCUAAGACGGGUAGGCUGGUCUGAGAGGACGACCAGCCACACUGGAACUGAGACACGGUCCAGACACCUACGGGUGGCAGCAGUCGAGGAUUUUCUCAAUGGGGGAAACCCUGAAGGAGCGACGCCGCGUGAGGGAUGAAGGUCUUCGGAUUGUAAACCUCUGUCAUCUGGGAACAAAGUGCUCCACC